rnacentral:rRNA from 1 species
UACGUAGGGUCCGAGCGUUGUCCGGAAUUAUUGGGCGUAAAGAGCUCGUAGGCGGUUUGUCGCGUCUGCUGUGAAAUCCCGAGGCUCAACCUCGGGCCUGCAGUGGGUACGGGCAGACUGGAGUGCGGGAGGGGAGAAUGGAAUUCCUGGUGUAGCGGUGGAAUGCGCAGAUAUCAGGAGGAACACCGAUGGCGAAGGCAGGUCUCUGGGCAGUAACUGACGCUGAGGAGCGAAAGCGUGGGGAGCGAACAGG